AACAUCUUCUCUCAAAACCUCACGUUUCAGAACAAAAAAAAACAAAAAAAAAAAACGCGAUCCUCACACUCGUCUCUGUUCUCUCAAGCUCGCGGCCUCUCUAAAGUUUAGCUCUUGCAAUUUCUCAUGUUUCUCUCAUAUGUCCUACAUUCCAACGAUUUUGUUACGAGUUUAAGAAGUUAAAUCAGUUCUUCUCGUGUGAACAAGCAAUCUUAUCAACAUCAGAUGAAAAAUCGGACAUAUGAGCAACCGGAUAGAGAGUCUAAAUCGUUCCCAACCGAUAUAUUCAAACAAACGGAGCGCGAACACAAGACGCAGAGAUUAUGUACAAGGGAUUUAAUGGUCGAUGGUUAAGCUGCAGACUGUCAACAUUUAAACAAAGCAGCGCACAAACAACAUCGACCUUUCUCUAUCAAUCAAAUACUACUGGAAAAACAAGAUGAGGUAGUUUAAGGCAAAUAGCAGUACAAAACGGAAGUAUCAUAACUAAAGAUUAUGCAACAUCACCUCAGCACCAUGGAGUUCUAGCUAGCUAGCAUCUCCUUAAGGCUUUUCAUCAGUGAACACAAAAAGACCUCAACCAUGGUAUUGGGAAGAAAUGACAGCAAGAAAUGCAUAAGCAAACAACAACAACGAGAAACUUUAUCCUAUAGUCAACUCUGAAUCUACCAUCAUGCUUAGUUUAUAUGCUUACAUCAGAACAACAAUAAUGAGCCUUUUUUUUGGUCAAUUCGGGUAACUCUUGGCUGGGUGCACACAGCAGGCAGCAGGUUUCUUGCAAGUCUUUGGCUGGUUUUGGACAGAAGGCUUUGGGCAUAGUUUCAGCAGCAACAAAUUGGGCUUUGCAAGCAAAUAACUUAGGGUCUUUAGAGUUUAAGUUUAUGGACUGGUUUUAUCUUUUAUGUAACAGCUUUUGCAAUUCAAGUGUAAUCUCUCAAUAAUA